GGGGGUUUAGCUCAGGGGUAGAGCGCUCGCUUUGCAUGCGAGAAGUCGGGGGUUCGAAUCCCUCAUCCUCCA
rfam:Enterobius vermicularis genome assembly, scaffold: EVEC_scaffold0000917